UGUAUUACUUAUCAUUGGAUUACUUCAAGAUUGCAGUUAUUAUUGAGCUACACUAAUUUUAUUUUCUUGAGUUUUCUUUCUUUUUCAAUUUUUUUUUUACUUGAAAUUUUCUGGGUGUAGAUCAACUGGAACCAUAACUUGAAUGUAUCUGCAAGUGUUGAUUGGCUGUACGUAUCACCAUUCACAAUGCAUCAAGAAUCUUGACAAUUCAUCCCCUUUUCAAAUCUUAUGUUAUGGUUUCCUAACUUAAAGUCUCUGUAGCGAUGACUUCAGCACUUUUCCAGAUAAUGGGGUACACAUCUAUGAUUAGCUUUACAUACUGAUUAUCAUCAUAUAUAUCUCGAUUUGAAUGUUCAAACUUUAGUAUCAAUGACACAAACAAAGAAAUUCAGUCUUUAGACUUCUGCAAGAAAUUGAAGAGCUAAAUAAAGAAGAACCACUUGUUUUGAUGCAUUUUCUUCUGAGAUCAAGUUAUGGAUUUUGACUUGAGCCAGAAGAUAAAGAGCCCAAUAAAGAAGAGCAACUUGAUGUUUGAUUUUGAUGGAUUUUUUUCCCUCAGAUCAAGUUAAGGGUUUUGGUAAGCCAUAUUACUAUUUCUGAGUUUUCUUUCUUUUGUAUAUUGUUUAUUUUUAUACCUAAAAAAUCAAUAAUUGUUCUUAAGAAUACUGGUUUGAAGAAUGAAUGAUUUCCCUUCUCUGGCCCUCACUAAACAACCUUA